rnacentral:rRNA from 1 species
CCUUACGUGAAUACAUAGCGUGAGGAAGGCAGACCCAGGGAACUGAAACAUCUAAGUACCUGGAGGAAGAGAAAGAAAAAUCGAUUUCCUGAGUAGCGGCGAGCGAAACGGAAAGAGCCCAAACCAAGAAGCUUGCUUCUUGGGGUUGUAGGACACUCUAUACGGAGUUACAAAAGAAAGUUAUAAAUGAAGCGGUCUGGAAAGGCCCGCCAAAGACGGUAACAGCCCGGUAGUUGAAAUGGCUUUCCCUCCAGAGUGGAUCCUGAGUACGGCGGAACACGUGAAAUUCCGUCGGAAUCCGGGAGGACCAUCUCCCAAGGCUAAAUACUCCCUAGUGACCGAUAGUGAACCAGUACCGUGAGGGAAAGGUGAAAAGCACCCCGGAAGGGGAGUGAAACAGUUCCUGAAACCGUGUGCCUACAAGUAGUUAGAGCCCGUUAAUGGGUGAUAGCGUGCCUUUUGUAGAAUGAACCGGCGAGUUACGAUUUGUUGCAAGGUUAAGCGGAAAAAGCGGAGCCGUAGCGAAAGCGAGUCUGAAUAGGGCGCAUAAGUAACAGGUCGUAGACCCGAAACCAGGUGAUCUACCCAUGUCCAGGAUGAAGGUAAGGUAAUACUUACUGGAGGUCCGAACCCACGCACGUUGAAAAGUGCGGGGAUGAGGUGUGGGUAGCGGAGAAAUUCCAAUCGAACUUGGAGAUAGCUGGUUCUCUCCGAAAUAGCUUUAGGGCUAGCCUCGAGGUAAAGAGUCAUGGAGGUAGAGCACUGUUUGGACUAGGGGCCCUUCUCGGGUUACCGAAUUCAGAUAAACUCCGAAUGCCAUGUACUUAUACUCGGGAGUCAGACUGCGAGUGAUAAGAUCCGUAGUCGAAAGGGAAACAGCCCAGACCACCAGUUAAGGUCCCCAAAUAUAUGUUAAGUGGAAAAGGAUGUGGGGUUGCUUAGACAACCAGGAUGUUGGCUUAGAAGCAGCCACCAUUGAAAGAGUGCGUAAUAGCUCACUGGUCGAGUGACCCCGCGCCGAAAAUGUACCGGGGCUAAACAUAUUACCGAAACUGUGGAUGAACCUCUUUAGAGGUUCGUGGUAGGAGAGCGUUCUAAGGGCGGUGAAGUCAGACCGGAAGGACUGGUGGAGCGCUUAGAAGUGAGAAUGCCGGUAUGAGUAGCGAAAGAAGGGUGAGAAUCCCUUCCACCGAAUAUCUAAGGUUUCCUGAGGAAGGCUCGUCCGCUC